GUGGGGAAUAUUGGACAAUGGGGGCAACCCUGAUGGAGCGACGCCGCGUGGAGGAUAAGGUCUUCGGAUUGUAAACUCCUGUCAUGCGUGAACAAGGUUGCUUGGUUAAUACCUGGGCAAAUUGAUGGUAACGCAAGAGGAAGAGACGGCUAACUCUGUGCCAGCAGCCGCGGUAAUACAGAGGUCUCAAGCGUUGUUCGGAAUCACUGGGCGUAAAGGGUGCGUAGGUGGCGUGGUAAGUCAGAUGUGAAAGCCCGGGGCUCAACCUCGGAACUGCAUCCGAUACUGCCAUGCUAGAGUACUGGAGAGGUGACUAGAAUUCUCGGUGUAGCAGUGAAAUGCGUAGAUAUCGAGAGGAAUACCAAAGGCGUAGGCAGGUCACUGGACAGUUACUGACACUGAGGCACGAAGGCCAGGGGAGCGAACGGGAUUAGAAACCCGAGUAGUCC
rnacentral:rRNA from 1 species